rnacentral:rRNA from 1 species
AUUGAACGCUGGCGGCAGGCCUAACACAUGCAAGUCGAACGAGUGGCGGACGGGUGAGUAAUGUCUGGGAAACUGCCCGAUGGAGGGGGAUAACUACUGGAAACGGUAGUCAAUACCGCAUACCAUUGGACGUGCUCAGAUGGGAUUAGCUAGUGGGUGGGGUAACGGCUCACCUAGGCGACGAUCCCUAGCUGGUCUGAGAGGAUGACCAGCCACACUGGAACUGAGACACGGUCCAGACUCCUACGGGAGGCAGCAGUGGGGAAUAUUGCACAAUGGGCGAAAGCCUGAUGCAGCCAUGCCGCGUGUAUGAAGAAGGCCUUCGGGUUGUAAAGUACUUUCAGCGGGGAGGCGUUACUCACAGAAGAAGCACCGGCUAACUCCGUGCCAGCCGCCGCGGUAAUAC